UAGGGCGGGAAAAGUUAGGCGGCAGGGGGAAAAACCAUACGGUUUUUCCCCCUGCCGCCUAACUUUUCCCGCCCUAAUUUUCCCCGC
rnacentral:miRNA from 1 species